rnacentral:rRNA from 1 species
GACGAACGCUGGCGGCGUGCUUAACACAUGCAAGUCGAACGGUAAGGCCCUUCGGGGUACACGAGUGGCGAACGGGUGAGUAACACGUGGGUGAUCUGCCCUGCACUUCGGGAUAAGCCUGGGAAACUGGGUCUAAUACCGGAUAGGACCACUGCCUGCAUGGGUGGUGGUGGAAAGCUUUUGCGGUGUGGGAUGGGCCCGCGGCCUGUCAGCUUGUUGGUGGGGGGAUGGCCUACCAAGGCGACGGCCGGUAGCCGGCCUGAGAGGGUGACCGGCCACACUGGGACUGAGAUACGGCCCAGACGCCUACGGGAGGCAGCAGUGGGGAAUAUUGCACAAUGGGCGCAAGCCUGAUGCAGCGACGCCGCGUGAGGGAUGACGGCCUUCGGGUUGUAAACCUCUUUCAGCACCGACGAAGCGCAAGUGACGGUAGGUGCAGAAGAAGGACCGGCCAACUACGUGCCAGCAGCCGCCGUAA